rnacentral:misc_RNA from 1 species
AAGUCGUAACAAGGUCUCCGUUGGUGAACCAGCGGAGGGAUCAUUACCGAGUUUACAACUCCCAAACCCAAUGUGAACGUUACCAAACUGUUGCCUCGGCGGGAUUUAUGCCCCGGGCGCGUCGCAGCCCCGGACCAAGGCGCCCGCCGGAGGACCAACCUAAAACUCUUUUGUAUACCCCUCGCGGGGUUUUUUAUAUCUGAGCCUUCUCGGCGCCCCUAGUGGGCGUUUCGAAAAUGAAUCAAAA